GGAAAAGUCUCUAAGCUUCAGUUACACAGGAAUCGUACCCGAAACCGACACAGGUGGUCAGGUCGAGUAGACCAAAGCGCUUGAGAGAACACUGCUGAAGGAACUAGGCAAAAUGGUACCGUAACUUCGGGAGAAGGUACGCUGCUGACGGUGAUGGGACUUGCUCCCUGAGCGGUUGGCAGCCGCAGAAACCAGGCCGCUGCAACUGUUUAUUAAAAACAUAGCACUCUGCAAACACGAAAGUGGACGUAUAGGGUGUGAUGCCUGCCCGGUGCUGGAAGGUUAAUUGAUGGGGUUAGCGUAAGCGAAGCUCUUGAUCGAAGCCCCAGUAAACGGCGGCCGUAACUAUAACGGUCCUAAGGUAGCGAAAUUCCUUGUCGGGUAAGUUCCGACCUGCACGAAUGGCAUAAUGAUGGCGGCGCUGUCUCCAGCAGAGGCUCAGUGAAAUCGAAAUCGCUGUGAAGAUGCAGUGUACCCGCGGCUAGACGGAAAGACCCCGUGAACCUUUACUGCAGCUUGACAUUGAACUUUGACCUUACUUGUGUAGGAUAGGUGGGAGGCUUUGAAGUUGGAACGCUAGUUCCAAUGGAGCCGUCCUUGAAAUACCACCCUGGUAAUGUUGAGGUUCUAACUCUGCCCCGUAAUCCGGGGCGAGGACCAUGUCUGGUGGGUAGUUUGACUGGGGCGGUCUCCUCCUAAAGAGUAACGGAGGAGUACGAAGGUGCGCUCAGCGUGGUCGGAAAUCACGCGUAGAGUAUAAAGGCAAAAGCGCGCUUAACUGCGAGACCCACAAGUCGAGCAGGUACGAAAGUAGGUCUUAGUGAUCCGGUGGUUCUGUAUGGAAGGGCCAUCGCUCAACGGAUAAAAGGUACUCUGGGAUAACAGGCUGAUACCGCCCAAGAGUUCAUAUCGACGGCGGUGUUUGGCACCUCGAUGUCGGCUCAUCUCAUCCUGGGGCUGAAGCAGGUCCCAAGGGUAUGGCUGUUCGCCAUUUAAAGAGGUACGCGAGCUGGGUUUAGAACGUCGUGAGACAGUUCGGUCCCUAUCUACCGUGGGCGCUGGAAAUUUGAGAGGAUCUGCUCCUAGUACGAGAGGACCAGAGUGGACGAACCUCUGGUGUACCGGUUGUCACGCCAGUGGCAUCGCCGGGUAGCUAUGUUCGGAAGGGAUAACCGCUGAAAGCAUCUAAGCGGGAAGCCUACCUCAAGAUAAGAUUUCCCUAGGACUUUAUGUCCUCUAAAGAGCCGUUCGAGACCAG
rnacentral:rRNA from 1 species